GCACUGGUGAGGAGUCCAUACUAGGACGAAACGGCCGUCCAGUGC
rnacentral:hammerhead_ribozyme from 1 species